UGAAAUGGAGGAGAAAUUACAGCAAUUUGUCAACUGAAAUUACAGGUGCAGACACGUGUCAGCCCUGGAAACCGUUUCUAUCAAAAUUAAACUAUUUAGAGAUUUUCUUCAAAUUUCA
ensembl:misc_RNA